rnacentral:rRNA from 1 species
UACGUAGGGGGCAAGCGUUGUCCGGAAUCAUUGGGCGUAAAGCGCGUGUAGGCGGCUUGGUAAGUCUGCUCUGAAAGCCCGGGGCUCAACCCCCGGGAGGCGGGUGGAUACUGUCAAGCCCGAGUCCGGAAGAGGAGUGUGGAGUUCCUGGUGUAGCGGUGAAAUGCGCAGAUAUCAGGAGGAACACCAAUGGCGAAGGCAGCACUCUGGGACGUGACUGACGCUGAGACGCGAAAGCGUGGGGAGCAAACAGA